CGUAGUCGAAAUGCGUGUUCUGGCGCGAAGAGUAUCCCAAGUAGCACGGGGCCCGAGAAAUCCCGUGUGAAUCUGUCAGGACCACCUGAUAAGCCUAAAUACUCCCAGAUGACCGAUAGCGGACAAGUACCGUGAGGGAAAGGUGAAAAGUACCCCGGGAGGGGAGUGAAAUAGUACCUGAAACCGUGCGCUUACAAUCCGUUAGAGCAUGACCCUUGUGGUUGUGUGAUGGCGUGCCUUUUGAAGAAUGAGCCUGCGAGUUAGUGCUGUGUCGCGAGGUUAACCCGUGUGGGGAAGCCGUAGCGAAAGCGAGUCUGAAUAGGGCGAU
rnacentral:rRNA from 1 species